AGGCACAUAGCUCAGUUGGUUAGAGCACCACCUGACAUGGUGGGGGUCGUUGGUUCGAGUCCAAUUGUGCCUACCA
rnacentral:tRNA from 1 species